ensembl:lncRNA LINC01548 long intergenic non-protein coding RNA 1548
UGGACAGCAGCAGAGGGAGGAGGAGGCAGGACAGACCAGAAGAGAGACAAUGAGGUUCUGAACCUAGAUGUUGGCCAAGGGAGCAGAGGAGGGCAGGUCAGGAGGCCCUCGCCCUGCAAUCACCCUUCCUGGGAGCCUUCACUUCACCUGUGAUCUCAAGACCUCUCCCUACUGCCUGACUCGCGCCGAGCUUAUGGAACAUCUUCCCUUGAGGGUCGCAGUCCAUUCGAUGAGCCCUUGUCACAGGUCCUGCUUCUGUGGGGAGCUCAAGCGCGGACACCCUUGGAACACUCCCCAAGUCUCUUCCUUCCCAUCCAGCACCACUUCCCUAAGUCACAGCUGCACCACCUCUCAUCUGGACUGCUCACAGCAGGUGGAGUCAGGAUCAAAAUAGCCAAAGAAAAAGUAAGAAUCCGUAUACAGGAAACAAAUAUGUGAUGAUGACCGGAGCAGC